AGAGAGGAAAGGAAAUGGGACAACUCACAGAGCCCUAUUUUGUUAGGAUAAAGAUAUGUCUACAUAAAAAGCUUGCAUAAAAAGAAAAAAUGGGCCAGGGGAAGAGGAAACGGUUAKAAGAACAAACUUUAAAAUGAGGAGGACAUGCAAAGCCAGGGAAUCCUUGUUUCGGAAUCACAAACAAGAAGCUGAAAUACAAACCAAAAGAUUACAGCAGCAGAGCAGAGAGCAGUGUGAAGCAGAGCUUGCUCAGGAAUUUACCCAGGGACAGAAGGUAGAAAAAGAAAGAAUAGAAGGAAAGAAAAGGAAGAGAAGAAAUGUURCGGUUUCCCAGAGGAAAUGAUGAAGAUCAAGAUUUGAGAGGAGGGAGCAGGUCAGCAGAGGUAAGGAGAGUUGGAUCAGGUUAGUUACUGAUAGCACUAUAUAGAGUGCAUAUACGUAUAGAACUUAGGAGGCCUUAGUAGUAAGGAAUACA
rnacentral:lncRNA from 1 species